AGCGUGGAAAUAUGCUAAAUACACACAGGACUAAUGUGUCAUGGUUUGCAAAGUUACUGUGCUGUGUGUGUUAACUGGAAAAUGAAGUGCAUGAAGCCGAUUGGCUGAGCCUGCAAAGACCUGGGGAUUGAUUUGAUACUGUUUCUGUUCUGCUGCUGCAGAACCAGUUUGGACAAGUUUUCAGUUGCUGACUGAGUACUGCUGAUGAUGAGAGCAGUGUACUCAGAGAGAGGCCUUGCUAUUUUGAGGCCUAGUUUGCUGCUGAGAAAAGAGGGAGAAGAAACAGGACCGUAUUAUUCUCUGAAGCAGGCUUGUGGACUUCUGUGACUCUGGAGCAUGGGCACACAUAAGUGCUUCUAUUUAUCAUAAUCAAUCCACUACAUUAUGAACCAGACACUUUCAGACAAGGAAAUAUAUUAAUAUGGAGGCACAGAAUAAUUCUCAGAUUGCAUUCCUGGUUUCAAGAGUGUAUACCAACAGGAAAUGGUAAGG
rnacentral:lncRNA from 11 species